rfam:Marine metagenome HOTS_Contig2040, whole genome shotgun sequence.
ACUCUUUUUGGUUUCAUUCAGUUGAAACCCUCAAGCGAGUACGCCGUAAGACGCAAGCGCAGGCGGAAAACU